rnacentral:rRNA from 1 species
GAUGAACGCUGGCGGCGUGCCUAAUACAUGCAAGUCGAGCGAACAGACGAGGAGCUUGCUCCUCUGACGUUAGCGGCGGACGGGUGAGUAACACGUGGAUAACCUACCUAUAAGACUGGGAUAACUUCGGGAAACCGGAGCUAAUACCGGAUAAUAUAUUGAACCGCAUGGUUCAAUAGUGAAAGACGGUUUUGCUGUCACUUAUAGAUGGAUCCGCGCCGCAUUAGCUAGUUGGUAAGGUAACGGCUUACCAAGGCGACGAUGCGUAGCCGACCUGAGAGGGUGAUCGGCCACACUGGAACGGAGACACGGUCCAUGCUCCUACGGGAGGCAGCAGUAGGGAAUCUUCCGCAAUGGGCGAAAGCCUGACGGAGCAACGCCGCGUGAGUGAUGAAGGUCUUCGGAUCGUAAAACUCUGUUAUUAGGGAAGAACAAAUGUGUAAGUAACUAUGCACGUCUUGACGGUACCUAAUCAGAAAGCCACGGCUAACUACGUG